UUCUUUGAUUGGUUCUGCUGAAAUUGGUGACUAUGGAGAUGGGGAUUUGGAUUCUGGGUGUAGAUUGAUUGUUGUUGAAGCACCACUAUUUGUGUACUAAAAAUUGUAGUCAGGUUAUUGUGUUUCUUUUCCUUUGACUAUUUGAGUAGCUGACAGAAAAUUGUUGUCAAUUUUAGUUUGUAGAUUACAUCUGUUUUAGGCAUUUCUACGACUGCAACUAAAUUUUAUAGUCAGGUUAUUCUUUGUUAUAUAUUUUAUUCUGCUGAUAUUCUAAUAUCUUGGUCAGUUGGAUUGUGCUCAGAACUCUUUUGCAGUUGAAUCACUCAUUUCCUGUGUUUGCAGGACUGUUGUUUACAAAGGACAACUGAAGCCAGUUCAGUUGAAGAAUUACUAUUAUGCUGAUCUUGGUGAUGAAAGGUUCACAAGUUAUAUGGCACUGGUAAAUACUCUUACAUUCUUCUUAAUGCACAGUCUGCAUUUAACAGCAAGCUGCUUGGAGAAGUCUCUCGUAGCAGAACAAAAAAUCCCGUUGCACUGUUCACUGUGGUCUGUACUUCAGGAAGCUUCCAAUACGGAGGUGGAAAGAGAAUAAUAUAUAGUAAGAUUAUUGAGUUGCUUUGCUCUUAUGCGGGUACACUCUAGGUUCUCAACAAAUACCUUUCCUAGCUGGGAUCGUGCUCAGCCCAUGCGCAUCUUGGGUCACAACGGAGAGAUUAACACACUUCGAGGCAAUGUUAACUGGAUGAAGGCGCGUGAGGGUCUUCUAAAGUGCAAAGAGCUGGGAUUGUCAAAGGAUGAGAUGAAGAAACUUUUACCCAUUGUUGAUGCUAGCUCUUCUGAUUCUGUGUCUUAUCUGUAGAAAAAGGAAAUGAAUCCCGCCUUAAGCGGAUGAUAUAUAACUUGAUCCCUAUGGGUCAAAAGUUGAGGAUGUGAAGAAGCCUGUCAAUCCAAUUUCCUUCCUCUUGCGUUUCAUUUUGGGUACCAACGCCGCAACCUACUAUGUCCUGGUGCCCAUUUACAUGUGGAUUAAGGAUCAGAUAUUCCCCAAGG